GAUGAACGCUGGCGGUGUGCCUAAUACAUGCAAGUCGUACGCAUUCUCGUUUCUGAUUGACGGUGCUAGCACCUAAUUGACGAGACAUUGGAAUGAGUGGCGGACGGGUGAGUAACACGUGGGUAACCUGCCCAGAAGCGGGGGCUAACAUUUGGAACCAGAUGCUAAUACCGCAUAAAAGUCAAAACCACAUGGUUUUGAUUUGAAAGAUGGCCUUGGUGCUAUUACUUCUGGAUGGACCCGCGGCGUAUUAGCUAGUUGGUAAGGUAACGGCUUACCAAGGCAAUGAUACGUAGCCGAACUGAGAGGUUGAUCGGCCACAAUGGGACUGAGACACGGCCCAUACUCCUACGGGAGGCAGCAGUAGGGAAUCUUCCACAAUGGGCGCAAGCCUGAUGGAGCAACACCGCGUGAGUGAAGAAGGGUUUCGGCUCGUAAAACUCUGUUGUUAAAGAAGAACGUAUCUAAGAGUAACUGCUUAGGUAGUGACGGUAUUUAACCAGAAAGCCACGGCUAACUACGUGCCAGCAGCCGCGGUAA
rnacentral:rRNA from 1 species